CUCUCUCUCUCUCUCUCUCUCUCUCUCUGUCUCUGUCUCUGUCUCUCUCUGUCUCACUCCUCUUGCUGUAAAAAAGAUAUGUAUGUCAUUACAUGAGGACAUUACAAUCAUGAAUACAAAUUAGAAUUUAGCAUACUUGAAUAUAAUCAAAAUGAAGAUAGUGUGGUUUAUCAUAUAUAAUUAUUAUUUCCAUAAUUACUGUCAUGGUCUGUCUGUUCCUUGUCGUGUUUUGGUGUGUUCCCUGUGUUUCCUGUGCUACUUUGGAUAUAAAUAAACCGUAUAAAUGAUACAACUUUAUAAAUGGCUAUGAGUUGGUUUUAUGCUCUGGUAAGAUCGAAAAUCAUCAACUGAAAUUCCCACUGUUGGGAUAUAUACCCUGCGGCCGUAUAUCCUCAACAGGUGGCUCCGUGGCGCAAUGGAUAGCGCAUUGGACUUCUAGUCAAACACUGAGAUGUGAUUCAAAGGUUGUGGGUUCGAGUCCCACCGGAGUCGCACCUUUUUCUUUCGAUACUGUGCAUAAGAACAGCAUUUAACGAACAGACCGAGGCUUGUUAGCAUCUCACUAAUAUCGGUAAAAACCAUAGACAUCUUAUAGCAUAGACAGAUCAUUGGCUGCUGGGACGCGAGAAACACGGCCGCCAUCUUGGAGUGGUCAACCGGGAGCAGCAACAGCAGCAGAAACAGGAUGCCGGGCUGUUGUUCAGCAUAUUCCUGCUCAAAUCGACGGACCAUCCACAAUAGGAAUCGGGGGAUUACUUUUCACAAGGAAUCGGGGGAUUACCAAUAGUACGGAUUUAACAUUACCGUACUAUUGGUAUAAUUGGUAUUGAAUAAUAAAACACGCCAAACCAUGUGGCCUUUAUCAUAGCUACACGUAUGAUUAAUUAAAUGUAGGGCUGCAAAUAACGAUUAUUUGAAUAAUCGAUUAAUCUGUCGAUUAUUUUUUCGAUUAAUCAAUGAAUCGGAUAAAAAAAAAAAAAGUAAAAACACCAGGUUAUUGCUCCAACGUCCCAGAACUAUUAAAAGUAAUAUUAAAUAAUAAAACAAUUAAAAAAACAUAACUGG
ensembl:lncRNA